CAAUUAUUUAAUUUACAUAUAAUUAUAAAUUAUUGUACGCAUAUAUAUAUGCAUAAUUUAUUGGCCCACUGCUUACAAUUUCUGUAAUUUGCCUGUGCUUGUUUCAUAUCGAUUAAUUUUCGAAGGUUCAUCAUUCACUUUUACUUUUCGUUCUAUUCUCACAAAUAUUGAUCGUCUGAGCCCACCUCUAUAAACUCGACGUAAACUCGUCCGUGCUUUACCGCAUAUACGUAAACUAUAUACCAUACUUUCUAGUAGUGUCUAGUUUCUAAUGUCAUACGGGUCCUAACUUGUCGCAUGUGUUGCGGGAAAACGCCAGAAUUCUAUAUCCUACAAGAAUAUCAAAAGUCUUGCAAAGACGACAAGCGAGCGAGCGAGCGAGCGAGCUAACUAGCUAACUAGCUAGUUUGCUAAGAAAGCGCUGUUUAUCCUUCCUAGAUGUGUAAGAAGACAUAUCAUUUUUGUUUUCAUUGCGCUGAAAGCUGGUUCCAGAGUUACAAGUCAAGUACCAAAUUUUUUCUUGGAGAGAGAAGAAAAUUAACUUACGAAGCCUACAAUUUAAGUUUUGAUAACUUAUAGCUGAUAUUGUAUAGCCAAAACAAUGUUAAUUUUCAUUCCAACUUUUCCCAUUGUAUUCAGUUAUCUGCAAUUUUUUUCCACAUUGAUUUGUAUACCCUUUCCUCACAAUACCCUUUUUGCUUUGUAAUAUUGAUGCAACGAACGAUGACCAAAGAGCGAAAGAGUGAAAGGGGAGGAGAAGAGAAAUAGCCUAGUCAAAAUCAAUCGCUGUGGGAUUAUAGUGCUACUUCAGAAUUCUAUCGCGUGAACGUCGACGCAAUCACGAGCAUCUCUAUAAAAAAAAACCGUUGAAUACUGAAAGGAUAAUUUGAAUAGAAAUAAUCGAAUCUUUGAAUUUCUAAACAUCUCAUACUUGCUCGUAAUCACCAAUUAUUUUAAAGACUUUCUAAUAUCUUCUAAUUUUUUGUAUGCCUUCUCUUGCAAAGAAUACAUUUACAAACUUUUAUAUUCUAUGUAAUUCAAUUUUAAUUUAAUUUUAAUCAUACAAAUUAUAUUAAUUGACUCUGAAUGUGACUUAUUCACUCAACAUUGUACAAAAGAGAAGUAAUUCUUUUUAGUAAUUUAUUUUUGUUUUACUAAAUAGACAUUUUUACGAUUAAUUAACUUUUUUUAUCGAGAAAGUAUAUAUAUUAGAUGUAAUAUGAUGUGUCAUGAGAAUCACGCGAUUUAUCAUAAAUUAUUAACGUUAUUGAAAACAAAAUCGUUUUUGUUUCAUGAUGAUUAUAUACAUACAUACAAACGUAAAACACGCAUUAUUUAAAUAUUUAAACUAUUUAAACGAUGUAGAGACAAUUUUGAACAUUGUGAAAUUCGAGUGAGGAUUCGAGUUAAAUAAAACCGAAACGCCCCUGUAAUUAAAUAAACCAUUAAUUAAGUUUAUAUAAUUAACAUCUGUUGAUGCUCAUUUAUUGACCUUUUUAAAUAUUGUGUUUAUUGCUUUUUCUAAAUUUAAGCUGGACUUGGUUUUUGUUCUUAAUUAUAAAUAUUUUGCCUCUACCACUAAUUUUUUUCUCCAAUCCAGUAAACAAAAUUUUGGAAAGAAAAUCGAAAAUCAAAUGCGGAAGAUUCAUUUAUUUUAAUAUACACUUUUACAAAUACAUUUAAAAUCACACAUACAUAUUACGCACGCACGCACGCUUACACAAUAUGUAUGUAUAUGUAUUAAAUUCAAUAAAAUUCGAAAGAGUUUCAUCCGCGGAUGCUCGCCCCAGAAAAUAAAGACUUAAAAAGAUUUCAACAAACAAAUCAUCUAAGUUUGGACCCUAAAGCCAAAGAUUUAAAAAUUUACAAAAAUACAUGAAAUAAAUAUAUAUAAUAUAGAAUCGCGAGACACGCACACGCGCGCGCGCAAAUACUAUACGGAUAGUGCUGGUAUUUUUCUAGUCUUCGAUGUUACGUCAAAUUGAAUUUCUUUUAUUUUUACGAAGAACAUUAUCCAUGCCGUUAAUCCUUUUCACAGACUUUUUGUUGCAAUGCUUCGUUGUAAUGUACAGUGCGGUUAAUACAAAUGUAUAUAAUAUAUCCAGGAAUAGAAAAAUCAAAAUGUGUUAAUUCGAUGUCAUAUUGAUUAAAUUAUGACAAAAAAAAUUGACAAAUUUGAUUAAUAUGACGUCAAAUUGACAUUACUUUGACUUUUCUGUUCUCCACGUGUACCAGAAAAUCUCCUUCAAAUAAUUUCAGUAAAGUUUAUUUGAAUAACAUUAGUUAAA
rnacentral:lncRNA from 13 species